rnacentral:rRNA from 1 species
UGGGGAAUAUUGCACAAUGGGCGAAAGCCUGAUGCAGCAACGCCGCGUGAGUGAUGAAGGCCUUCGGGUUGUAAAGCUCUGUCUUUUGGGACGAUAAUGACGGUACCAAAGGAGGAAGCCACGGCUAACUACGUGCCAGCAGCCGCGGUAAUACGUAGGUGGCAAGCGUUGUCCGGAUUUACUGGGCGUAAAGGAUGCGUAGGCGGAUUUUUAAGUGAGAUGUGAAAACCCUAAGCUUAACUUGGGGACUGCAUUUCAUACUGGAAAUCUAGAGUGCGGGAGAGGAGAAUGGAAUUCCUAGUGUAGCGGUGAAAUGCGUAGAGAUUAGGAAGAGCACCAGUGGCGAAGGCGAUUCUCUGGACCGUAACUGACGCUGAGGCAUGAAAGCGUGGGUAGCAAACAGGAUUAGAUACCCUGGUAGUCCACGCCGUAAACGAUGAGUACUAGGUGUAGGAGGUAUCGACCCCUUCUGUGCCGCAGUUAACACAAUAAGUACUCCGCCUGGGAAGUACGAUCGCAAGAUUAAAACUCAAAGGAAUUGAC